CUCCGUGUUGUAGCUAACGCGUUAAGCACUCCGCCUGGGGACUACGGUCGCAAGACUAAAACUCAAAGGAAUUGACGGGGACCCGCACCAGCGGUGGAGCAUGUGGUUUAAUUCGAUGCAACGCGAAAAACCUUACCACUCCUUGACAUGGAGAUUAGAUCCUUCUUAACGGAAGGGCGCAGUUCGGCUGGAUCUCGCACAGGUGCUGCAUGGCUGUCGUCAGCUCGUGUCGUGAGAUGUUGGGUUAAGUCCCGCAACGAGCGUAACCCUCAUCCUUAGUUGCCAGCGGGUAAUGCCGGGCACUUUAAGGAAACUGCCGGUGGUAAACUGGAGGAAGGUGGGGAUGAUGUCAAGUCAGCACGGCCCUUAUGGGGUGGGCUACACACGUGCUACAAUGGUGACUACAAUAGGUUGCAAUGUCGCAAGGCUGAGCUAAUCCGUAAAAGUCAUCUCAGUUCGGAUUGUCCUCUGCAACUCGAGGGCAUGAAGUCGGAAUCGCUAGUAAUCGUGGAUCAGCAUGCCACGGUGAAUACGUUCUCGGGUCUUGUACACACUGCCCGUCACGCCAUGGGAAUUGGCUUAACUCGAAGCUGGUGCGC
rnacentral:rRNA from 1 species